AAGGAACUCAGGCUGUUAAAAGAUGGCUUUCAUUGUAAUGCAGCAGCUCUUCCAUUUUCCAUGAGAAUAUAAAGGCCUGGCCUCCAUACCCCAAGUCAAGGCAAUCGGAAGGCCCAUCCCUGCUUUCCAGUUCCCCAUGGAGUCGGCAGAGGCCCAACUGUGCCUGCUUUGGAACCCAUCUUCUCUCUCUACCCAACCCUACUUCCUUCCUCAGAAGACUUUGAAUGAACUUCCUGACUUCAAUCUCCAUCUCAGAUUCUGCUGCCUGCACAUCUGACCUACAGAACUUUUCCUUUAUUCUGCUUUAUUUUUUCUCCAUAGCACUUACUACAUUUAUUGCUCUAUCACAUACUCAUAUAUCACAUAUUCAUUACUGACCUAUUAUAUAUUCAUUUUCUACUGUAUUAUUGGCCCUCUCCCUCCUCCCAUUAGAUUGUAAGCUCCGGUGGGGCAGGAAUUUUGUUUUACUUGCUGCUGUAACCACAGGACUUGGAACACUGAAAGCACUAUAUAGAUUUUCAUGACAAAUAUCAAAUAAAUGAAAGUUGGGACUUGCAAACAUAUAGCCUGUUUACAUUGCUGUUCCUGAACCCCAGGUUUUACUGUCUGCCAAAAAUCCAGAGUACCCUACAUUGGUAUCCAUUAAUUAAGAUCAGACCAGAAAUUAAGAAUAUUUAAAGGGAUUUGCACCAGCACAAUUAGGACUAUAGCAGCAAGAGUUAACAUUUUCAGCGGAACAACUUUUGUCACAUUUCUUUAAUUUAUAUAACUUCGAUUAUAAUAGUCAUCUUCAGAAUAAUGAUGGCUAGCAUUAGCAUAAAGUGCUCUGGGUCACAAAGCUUUGCACAUAUUAUUUCAUUUAGUUUGAUGCUGAUGAAACCAUGUAAAGGACAUAGAAUUGUUAUGCUAGUUUCACUAAUGAGGAGACUAAAGCUCUGAGAGCUUCAAUGACUUUUUCAAUGACACACCUGAUAAAUGAGUUCCAUCCAGGUCUACUGACUCCAAAUCCACUGUUCUAUCUCUCAGUACAUCACCCUAAUAAUUCCCUGGAGAGUGACUCCACAAAACUAAAGCUCUUCUACAAUACCGAUCAGAAAAGCAAAAUGGGGCACCUCAGCAACCCAACUAAAAGACAUCCUGUAUGUA
rnacentral:lncRNA from 1 species